CUUCGCAGACUAAACGACUUAUCUUGUCAAUUACCCAACUGUAAUGACAACAGGCGUUAGCUGCACCCUAAAUUCAGGCCAUCUCCCCAACGGUUAACUUUCCAAACUGACAGCUUGGACAUUUCACCAACACAUACUUUCUUUUAGCUCCAUAUUGAACGUGUUCACUGUCAUUAAAAUAAGUUGUCUCUACCAAAAUGCCGUUUGGGACCUCAAAAACAUGAAACAAGAAGUCACUUUGAGACAGCAACUUCGACAUGGGUCAAUUGGCAGCAGCAUCCCCAGUCUCAGCGGCAGACAGGCGGCCCCCGGACGACAGGCGAGGUGACACCAGGCAGUUCAGGAAGUGUUUCCGUUAGUUUUGACCGCGGACCGGAAAAGCGUGGAGUGCAGUUGUCACAAUAGUUCCGGUGGGGGGAUGAACUUUGUAUACUUUUGAAGAUAUAGUCAAAUAAAAUACUAAGAAAAAUGUU